rnacentral:rRNA from 1 species
CCCUUAGAUGUUCUGGGCCGCACGCGCGCUACACUGAUGCAUUCAACGAGCCUAUCCUUGACCGACAGGUCCGGGUAAUCUUUGAAUCUGCAUCGUGACGGGGAUAGAUUAUUGCAAUUAUUAAUCUUCAACGAGGAAUGCCUAGUAGGCGCAAGUCAUCAGCUUGCGUCGAUUACGUCCCUGCCCUUUGUACACACCGCCCGUCGCUCCUACCGAUUGGGUGUGCUGGUGAAAUGUUCGGAUCGGCCGUUUGUCGCGGUUUCCGCGUCAUGUGGCUGAGAAGUUCAUUAAACCCUCCCUCCUAGAGGAAGGAGAAGUCGUAACA